AAAGUUGUUCGUUUGCCUGUCGCU
rnacentral:siRNA from 1 species